AGAUGUAAGGGCGAUCUGGCUAUGAAAUAAGUCACCCCAUUGAUUUCCAGGGUUGAUUUGGCUGAUCUGGCUGGCUAGGCAAGUGUCCCCUUCCUUCCUCAUCAAUCUAUGUGUGUCCCUCUUGUAGCUUCAUGCUCAAUUAAAGAGAAUGACCUUCCCUGAAUAGAGAUGGACCAGUUUUCAGUUGAGGGUAUGCCAGUAGCUGUUGUGCUCCCCUGCUAGAACCUCCAAACAAAUUCUCAAGGUCCAUUUGUAUUAAGCUCUUCCAAAAUAUUAAAGACACAGGAAUACUCCCUUCCACCUUCUGU
rnacentral:snRNA from 1 species